CCUACGGGGGGCAGCAGUGGGGAAUAUUGGACAAUGGGGGGAACCCUGAUCCAGCCAUGCCGCGUGUGUGAAGAAGGCCCUCGGGUUGUAAAGCACUUUCAGUGAGGAAGAACGCCUGGUGGUUAAUACCCAUCAGGAAAGACAUCACUCACAGAAGAAGCACCGGCUAACUCCGUGCCAGCAGCCGCGGUAAUACGGAGGGUGCGAGCGUUAAUCGGAAUUGCUGGGCGUAAAGCGCGCGUAGGUGGCUUGAUAAGCCGGUUGUGAAAGCCCCGGGCUCAACCUGGGAACGGCAUCCGGAACUGUCAAGCUAGAGUGCAGGAGAGGAAGGUAGAAUUCCCGGUGUAGCGGUGAAAUGCGUAGAGAUCGGGAGGAAUACCAGUGGCGAAGGCGGCCUUCUGGACUGACACUGACACUGAGGUGCGAAAGCGUGGGUAGCAAACAGGAUUAGAUACCCGAGUAGUC
rnacentral:rRNA from 1 species